rnacentral:lncRNA from 1 species
GUCCCCGUCACCCAGGCCGGGGGAGCAGCAAAGCUGUCCGACUUCUACGAGAGGUUUCUUCGGACUCUCCUUCGGGGACUCAACCUCUCCUUCAGGAGCUACAACUUGUCCUGCCGGGGGAGCUCCUGUCCUAUUUGGCCAACAGAACAUUCAAGGCCCAAAAGAACCCACCAUCAAGAAGCUCAGGGACAGGUGAGCACCUAGGCUGGGCAGUAGCUGAAUCCUGGGGGCUUAAGGUGAAACUUCAGACGAGGCGUG